rnacentral:lncRNA from 8 species
GACCAAGUUAGUAGAAGAGAAACACUAACAUAAGGGCAUAGAAUUGACUAAAUAACUUACAGUGUAGAUUGACAUGGACCUACCACAGGGCUCGGUCUGUGGUAGAGAAAUACAAAGUUGUCACAGACCAAAUGUAGUGUGACAAUUUCUUCUGUAUCACAUUUCCUCUUUCAGCCCUCAUGCAAAUCUAUUCUCAAGAUCUCUUGUUCACUUGUGUGUGUGGUGUAUCUUACUUCUUGUUGUAUCUUAUUUAAUGCCUUAUCGUAUAUAACAUUUUCAUGCAUUGGUCUUUGAAAGGAAGAAGUGAGAUCAAGACUGUGUUCAAACACUUCCUUUUUCAUCCCUGAAGUGACAUAAUUUAUCGCGUGUUUUGCUCAAACAUCCUAGUCACACGGUGUGGCAGGUUUGGAAUCUGAAUUUGAGAUUUGUAUAGUGAAUCUACAGUUUCCAACACUGUGGUUGGCCAUUGUGAAGACAACAUGCUUGUGGUGUUUGGACUCCUGGUGAUGUUAACUGGACUCUCUAAUGGCAUGGAGGAGAAAUGCUGUGAUGCUAGACAGAACAUGUCACGUCACGGAGCUCUGGGAGAAACUGUCUAUCUUCAGCUGAUGAAUAAUGCCACAGGGUCUGAACUCAUAUUUAAAAAAGACCCCACUGGUGCUAGUAUAAAGAUAUUCAGCAUGAAAAACAACACAGUGAGCUUCCAUGACUCCAUUAAAGCAAGAUCAGAGUUCUUUAUCAACAACGGGACAUUUAGGAUAUCUAACACAGAAAAGAGUGAUUCUGGUGAAUAUCUCUUAGAAAUCUAUAAUUCACAUGGAACACGUUUGUGCACCGGAGGAGUACAACUGAUAAUUGGAGGAGGAUCUUAUGGGACUGUCAUAGGGUCACUAGUAGCUGUGGUCCUGGUCCUAACCGUGGUGGUGGGAGCUUACUGUAUUCACAAGAGGAGGACACCUCCACAGGCUCCAGGUCAGUGGUGCGACAGAUCUAACAAACAAAGAUUACUAUGUACAGUACACCGAUGGUUACCACAUUCAGUCACAUUCAGGAGGUUCCAGAGGAUGUGGAGUAUGGACAGGUAGUAGUAUUGAAGGGUUCCAGACCAACCACAGAGAGAGACAGACCUGAGGGGUGGGAGGAGACUGUGUAUGGUGGAAUACAGCUUGGCCAAUGAGAGAAGGUUCUUCAAUGUAGGCCGGGUUGUGAAGGGUUGGUCUUUAGACAUUGUAUUAAACCUUUGUUGGUUCAUUUGUUACUGUAAUUAAUUGUAUCUAACUUUCCCAUAUUUCUGUACACAUUUUCAUGAAAUGUACAUGAACAACCCAACAACUAAACUGUAUACACUGGCUGUAGUGAGUCCUUCUGCUUU